AGAGUUUGAUCCUGGCUCAGGAUGAACGCUAGCGGCAGGCCUAAUACAUGCAAGUCGAGGGGCAGCAGGAUAGCAAUAUCGCUGGCGACCGGCGCACGGGUGCGUAACACGUAUAUAAUCUGCCUUUAACAGGGGGAUAGCCCGGAGAAAUCCGGAUUAAUACCCCAUAAUAGAUCGAAUGGCAUCAUUUGGUUUUGAAAGCUCCGGCGGUUAAAGAUGAGUAUGCGUCUGAUUAGCUAGUUGGUGAGGUAACGGCUCACCAAGGCGACGAUCAGUAGGGGAUCUGAGAGGAUUAACCCCCACACGGAUACUGAGACACGGAUCCGACUCCUACGGGAGGCAGCAGUAAGGAAUAUUGGACAAUGCCCGCAAGGGUGAUCCAGCCAUGCCGCGUGCAGGAAGACGGCCCUAUGGGUUGUAAACUGCUUUUAUACCGGAGAAAACCUCCCCUCGUGAGGGGAGCUGAUAGUAUGGUAAGAAUAAGCAUCGGCUAACUUCGUGCCAGCAGCCGCGGUAAGACGAAGGAUGCAAGCGUUAUCCGGAUUCAUUGGGUUUAAAGGGAGCGUAGGUGGCCUUAUAAGUCAGUGGUGAAAUCUCGCAGCUUAACUGCGAAAUUGCCAUUGAUACUGUAGGGCUUGAGUAUAGUUGCCGUUGGCGGAAUAUGACAUGUAGUGGUGAAAUACAUAGAGAUGUCAUAGAACACCGAUUGCGAAGGCAGCUGACGAAACUAUAACUGACACUGAGGCUCGAAAGUGCGGGGAUCAAACAGGAUUAGAUACCCUGGUAGUCC
rnacentral:rRNA from 1 species